rnacentral:rRNA from 1 species
GCAAGUCGAGCGGUAGAGAGAAGCUUGCUUCUCUUGAGAGCGGCGGACGGGUGAGUAAUGCCUAGGAAUCUGCCUGGUAGUGGGGGAUAACGUUCGGAAACGGACGCUAAUACCGCAUACGUCCUACGGGAGAAAGCAGGGGACCUUCGGGCCUUGCGCUAUCAGAUGAGCCUAGGUCGGAUUAGCUAGUUGGUGAGGUAAUGGCUCACCAAGGCGACGAUCCGUAACUGGUCUGAGAGGAUGAUCAGUCACACUGGAACUGAGACACGGUCCAGACUCCUACGGGAGGCAGCAGUGGGGAAUAUUGGACAAUGGGCGAAAGCCUGAUCCAGCCAUGCCGCGUGUGUGAAGAAGGUCUUCGGAUUGUAAAGCACUUUAAGUUGGGAGGAAGGGCAGUUACCUAAUACGUGAUUGUUUUGACGUUACCGACAGAAUAAGCACCGGCUAACUCUGUGCCAGCAGCCGCGGUAAUACAGAGGGUGCAAGCGUUAAUCGGAAUUACUGGGCGUAAAGCGCGCGUAGGUGGUUUGUUAAGUUGGAUGUGAAAUCCCCGGGCUCAACCUGGGAACUGCAUUCAAAACUGACUGACUAGAGUAUGGUAGAGGGUGGUGGAAUUUCCUGUGUA